GCCACCCAGGCACCCCGAAAGGUGUUGCCAUGUAUUGAUACCUCAAUUUUUUGAUGAAGUGUGGAAUUCAGAAGCAUGCAACAGAAUGUGUGAUAAUUGUUGUAAAGACAUUGGUCUCAGUACGGCAUGUGAAAGCUUGUCACAGCACACUGCGGAGAUCUAAUAAAGAUCCUCAAGUAGGCAGAGGACCCUCCACUGGAAGCAAGAGUGGUAGGUGUUGCUCCUCCCAAACUUCUAAUGAAGACCUGGUAAAAAUUAUUGCACUUUCUUCUACAGCAGUAUUUUAAGUAUAUAUAAAUCCAUUUCCUGUCCUUUGGUGUUGUCUUUAUAAUUGUUUCUUAUAAUUGCAACAGAACAAGUGGUUUUUAUGUGGUUAAAAUUUA